rnacentral:lncRNA from 1 species
UUUUUUUUUUUAUCCUUCUAAUCUCAUCAUCGGAACAUGAGUUUUUCUUUUACUCUCUGAAUCAUGUGUUUUCGAUCUAUCCACAAUGAUAACCAUCGUAUGUCUUUAAAAAAUGCUUCAAAGUCAUAUUUUUUCGAUCUCACAUUUUACUUCUCUAGACCUGUUUUGCCUAACCUUACAUUUUCACCAUCAAUAUAUAUUGCUACAUACUUUUGCUAUAUAAUUUACUAAAUACAAAAUAUUAAUCAUUUUCUAGAAAAAUUAUUAAUUAAUGCCUAUCAUUAUAAUUACUUUCUUUUUCUUUUUCAAAUUUCACCAUGUUCAAUUAUGAAUUAACAACGUGAUUAAUGUUUAGAAAAAAUAAGUUGAUAAAAGAAAUAUUUCAUGUAUAUAAUUGAAAAAAAUUAACAGAAGAAUAGUUGAUUAGUCAAUUUAAUUUAAAGUAAGUUAUGAUCACUAUUGAAUAUUGUAAAUAAAGAUUAUUCUGAAUUUAUAGUAGGAGAAUAUUCGAGAAUUAGGCUCUUAAAAUUAAAAAUCAUCAAAAAUAAUACUUAGUUUCUCAACUCUAUAUAUUUGAUCAAUAACUUGAUCGGCAAAAAUAAAAAAUAAUGUGAACCUCUUUUCCUAGUACGUGGGACACUGACUUGGACUUUUAAAAUAAGAUUAUUCCUUGGCAAAAAUAAAAAAUAAUGUGAUUCUCUUUGCCUAGUACGUGAGAUACUGACUUGGACUUCUAAAAUAAGAUUAUUCCUUAUCGUCCUUAAUUCAAGUAAUCCAUAAUUUAUUUAUUUUUAGAAAAACACGUAGUUUAAAAAUAAGAAGACAACUAUAUUAACUCGAGCAAAAAACUUUUGUCAAUAUACGAAGGAGUAUAUUCACUCUAAAUUGCUAGAAUCCACAAUUUGAUGAAUAGAGGCUCUAUUUGCUUCUCAUUUUUUCACUAUAGCUCGUAGUUAUGUCCCAUGUAUUUGGUAUAUUAAUAACUCCUACAAUAAAAAGAAAGUGAAUAUUAACAGUUCCUUAUAGAAUUAAAAUAAAACCUUUCAAUCAAAUAUGCUGAUUGAACAAUAUGAAUCAAAUUUAUUUAUUUAACUAUAUAAUUGAAUAAAAAUUGAAUUCAUACUUAUAAAAUGAUAGAAAGACGAACUUAGAUUUGUAGCAUAUUUUACGAAUCUACAAAGACAAAUUUUAUUAAUCAUUAAAAUAUACUCCUUCCGUCCCAUUUUAUCCGUCCCAAAUUUUCUAAUCUAGUGUCUCAUUUUGCUUGUCCUUUUUUACUUAUCAAUACAAGACAUUUUUUUUUUUCAUAUUUUACCCUUUACAUUAAUUACUUUUUCUUUAAAUUAAAAUGUAAACAUCAUUUAAUAGGGGUACUAUGGUAAACUAUCCAUGUUAUUUAUUAUUUUUCUUAAUAGCUGUGACAUCCCAAUUUAAAAUGAGUAAAAUGGAACGGAGAGAGUAAAAUAUAAAAUAAAUUUAAAGGCCUCAAAAUUCAAGAGAAAUACAUGAGAUUAGGGAGAACUUAUAAGAUAAAAGAGGAGGAGAAAUGCAUUGUGUAAUUUUCAAAGAUGGGUAUUUAAACUUAUGACUCAGACUUUUCAAUUGUUAAACGGCUGUGUAUCUUUGUUGUUAUUUAAUUCAAUUUUUCAUUUGGGUUAAUUAAAUCUAAUGCAUGAGAUAAAAAGAGUAAGAAAUAAAUAUUUUUUUCCUUCCAUUUUACUUGAUAUUUUCUUAAAUAUGUUUGUUUCAAAUUAAUUGUCUAUUUUUGUAAAUCAAAAAUAUUUUAUUUCUUCUUUCUCAUGCUAUCCUCAAUACUAAAUAAUUCAAAAAUAAUAAUAAUAAUAAUUAAAUUUAGAAUUUCAAAAUAUCAUUAGGGUUAAAUUUAUAAAAUAAAUUUUUAAUUAACGGAGGAAUAAAAUUUUGAUUGAGCUGUUUCAAAUUAUUAAUGCAUACAUGACAUGCAAUUAAUCCGUAACUGACUUUUCUUGAACCAAUAGCAUAAGUCAUUUAAUAUGCAAGGGAAAAGGGAAAGACAGAGAAUUGGCUUACAACCGCAUGAUUUAAGUACUACUUUUCUUGUAACGCGUGUCUGAUAAAUAAAUGGUAUUUAGUUAAUUUAAAGAAAAUAAUUAAAAUGGAAUAAAAGGCUUUAGAAAAAACUGAAUGCUGAAAAAUGUUCAAAAAAUCAGAAAAAAGAUAAAUAUUUUUCUUGAUCACUGGGGCAUGCCACCUCAAUAGUCUCCAAUGUUUCCUUUAGCCUCCAAUGUUUCCUUUAUAUUAUAUAUAGAUUGAUACCGAAAGAUUAUUAUGUUUCUAGAUUUCAAAAAAUAUGAAUGAAGGUGGCUUUGAGAAUUUGAAAAAAUUAAUGAAAAAAGUAACAUUUGUAACGGAAACAUUUAUUGUCACUAAUAAUAAAAAUUGGCCGAUUAAAUUAAAAUGAUAAGAUAUUUUGUCACAAUAAAAUAUAUUUAUAAAAAUCUAAUCCCAAAUAUUGUGACUAUUUAUAGCUAGAAAAAUUAAAUUUGAUAGCUACUAUUUCAAUCGUUAUGGAAAAAUAAUUAUAUCUUUUGCCACAAUAAAUUUAUUUGUGGCUAAAGUAUAAAAUAGCAAUAAAGUAGAUUAGUUGUGGCAAUUAGAAAGUUAACUAUUAGCUGUGUGGAAAUUAGACUUCUUUAAAAUAGCCACGUCACAAAACAUUUCAUAGCAAUAAGCUAAUUAGUCCUUAGCCAAGAAACUUUAAAGUUUGUAGUUGGCUUUAAAUUAUGCCACUUCUAGCUACGCAUGCUAUGAAAAAAAUUAUAAUAGCUAAAGUGUUUAGCCACAGAAAUAAAACAGGUGCAGAAGGAGUAGAACAGGAAAGAAUGCUUUCGUGAAGUAAAACAACAGGAAAGAAUGCUUUCGUGAAGUAAAACAUCCUAGAAAAGAAAACAAUAUGUUUGAUCUAAUCUAAUAACUGAUAUGCCUUUUCUGUCAUAACCAAGAAACACACAUGAAAUGAAUCCAAGUUGAAAUUUAUCCCCUAUAUGGAUUAGGAUUAGCCGCAAAACAGCGGCAACCAAAUACUUUGAGGUUUGUAUAAGAAGGUUCAGAAUUAUACAAUCCACGUCAUUUUUAUAUAUAAAAAUUAUUAAAUAUUAAAAGAAAACAAUUCCUCUCCCCCCCCCCCCACCCCUCCCCACCCCAAUAUUUAAGUGGAAGUUUAGAUUGAAAUAGCAAGGGUGUAGCAGUUUCUAGUAAAUAUUUUUGUUUCCUUUCUAUAACAACAACAUUGCACUAUUCAACUCAUAACGAUCACAUAUGAUUUUGUUUCCAUAAAAAGCUUGCCAAAUUAAUGUCAUGGAUAUUGAGUACACAAAAAGGAAGUAAUUAACUUCUCUAGUUCAUUAAUGGGAAGAACUAGAGUUUUAUUCAAUACACAACACAAAUACAUAAUUUAGAUAAUAGGAAGAACUAGAGUUUUAUUCAACACACAACACAAAUACAUAAUUUAGAAAAUUACAACCACAAAAGUAUUAAUUAGUAGCUUAGUACAUAACAUAGUGUCAAAAACACAUACUUUGUGGCCAUAAUUUCUUAGAGCAAAUUAAUGCUUCUUCUUAAGCUUUCUCUAGAGCAAUUUUAUUGCCACCGAUGGCGCAAUGGUUGCUACCACAGCUUUUCACGCAA